UCCUGGGUCGUCUAAUGGUAGGACAGAGGACUUUGAAUCCUCUAAUCCUGGUUCGAAUCCAGGCCCGGGAGCCA
rnacentral:tRNA from 2 species